GGUUGACCUCGGAUCAGGUAGGACUACCCGCUGAACUUAA
rnacentral:rRNA from 2 species